UAUGGACUUUGGUUCAAGAGUUUAUUUGCUUUUGCUGCGAGACACAAUGACUCACCUGGUAUUGUCAAAACUGUAAAAAGCAACAAGGAAAUAUCUGGUCAUUAUCUGGAGUCAUUACAGGAAGAAGCUCAGGGCGUUUUGGGACGUCUUCGGCAACUCUUUGGACUGCUGUCGGCCUGCAGACUGAGGACUGAUGAAGGACAGGAAGCUGAGGAUUUCAGCACAUGGUUUUCUACACAGACCUGGUCUAGAGUGAAGAAGUCCAUGGGAAGAAGCUGAUCGUCAAACCCACAGACCGAACGCAGCGAUGUCAGAGGAGUCGAGCGACACUACAGCCUGUCAGCUGUCUGUUGGAGCAAAGACGGAGAAGUCUGUGAAGAAGCAGCUGAAGGAUCUUCUGCAGGAUUUGAGACGUUGUGAACUGGAAGAGUUCCAGUGGUUCCUGCAGAAUGCUGAGGAACUGGUUGGUUUUCCAGCCAUCAAAGUGUGCAAGCUGGACAAUGCAAGUUACCUGAAAACAGUAGAUGAGAUGGUCAACA